rnacentral:lncRNA from 1 species
ACUUUUAUUUUAUUUAUUUAUUGUGUUGUUACAUAAAAUCAAACCUAGAAUAUCCCUUUUCCUGAUGUGAACCCCUUGCCACUAGAGCAAAGCCUCAAGGACUUCAACUUAUUAGAACAAACACUGAGCUGGCUUUGCCACACACAGAGUAGGGAAGUAUUUCUCAUCCUUCUCUUGUAAUCUCUUAUUUUUUAUGAAUAUGUUUUUGUUUUAGACAAAGAAAAUGUCCGUCAGGGUGCCCCGUUGGUUAGGGCGACUGCUGAGAUGUGUGAUAAAGGUGCAUGGUCCUAAGUUUGAUUCCUGCCACUAGUUAAAUGUCUUUGAUUACCCAAGUCAACACCCUGAGACUUGGGUCCCGUUGAAGACUCUCAAGGGCUCGGCCUGGGAAGGUUCCUUAUUUAUCACCCAAAAAAAAAAAAAAGCUCCACAAAGAGAGGCAUGUCCUACACAUCACAAGAGGAACUGUAACUGCAUUGUACCAAUUGGACAAUGAAAAAAAGAAUGGGAAGGAAGGCAGGAAAAGCCUUCUAUAUUUAUUGCCAAAGAAAAAACAUGAGAUUCAAUGUUCAUUAGACAUAGAUUCAGCCAUUCCAGUCACCUACACCAAUAAUAAGUAUAAGACAAAAGAUUCUAUUCCAAAUGGCAUUUUUCAAGAAAGGAGAUGGUGAUACUAAAAGCCUUUUCACAGAAUGUCUAGCUGGAGAAUGAAGAGUAGCUUCCCACAUGAAUUUGGGAAAUUUUUAGAGGAUUGAGAAGCCAUCUAAGGAGAUUACAUGAUUAUUUUGUUUCCUGUUCUCACUGGAAUAAUUGCCCCAGGGAAGGUUGGAUCAGAGGCCUUUUCAGCCUACACAAAGUGGAUUUAGAAACCCUUUUAGAGUCAACCUCUAUAGCCCUAUAGAACAGCAGUUACAUUCUAAAUAGUUUAGCAGUUCUAGUUCAUUUCUUGAUGCAUUGUUUUUUUUUUUUUUUGAUUGGAAACGACACAAAGAUUUAUUGAUAGAAAAAAAGUACAAAAGAAGGAUGAGGAAUCCUCCUGCCAAAGACAGCUAAACUAUAGAAAAAUACACUGAAAAACAAGCUAUCCCUCUAAAAAGACCACUCCUUAUGGAGUACAUACAGCUAUCCAAUCAAGAUGUAUCGCAUUAAGGGGAGUCCCCUUAAAAACCUUGGAACAAUAGGCCCAAAGAGAAGCAAGGAAAACAAUAGAGUCCCAUAGAGACUCUGAAUUCCUUGCUUUAUCCUCAAAAAUCCUCGCAUUUCUUUCCCUCCACACAAUCCGAAUAAGAGCGAUGUUUGCAGCUUGCCACAAGGCUAUCCCCCUCUUAGUUGAACCAAAUCCAUUGAAUUUGAUGUACAUCAUGUCAAGGAUGCUUCUCGGGGGAACCCAAUCCAUCUUAGCUAACUGAAAUAACCUGUGCCAUAACCCAAUCGUCAAGGAGCAAUGAAGAAAAAUAUGAUCGGCUGAUUCCCCAUACUUCAUGCACAGAAUACAAAUAUCCGGACUAAGGGCUUUGUAGGGUCUUCUCACUUGUAGCAUGUCAUUAGUAUUCACCUUCUUGUGUGCCACUAACCAGAUGAAUGACUGCACUUUGAAAGGAAUUUGAGAAUUCCAAACGAAUUUAGAAGGAAAAACCUGAGGAGAUCCAGAAAAUUGGGAUAAAGCUAGAAAGAAAGAUUUAACUGAAAAAAGCCCUGAAGAAGACAAGGGCCACAAUCUGGCAUUUGGAACCGAAGGAGAUAAAUGCACUCCAUCAAGAGAACGCAUGAGGCCUUCUAAGUCCUCAAUCUCAGAAUCUGACAAGUUACGACGGAAAUUUAAAUUCCAAGAGAAAGGACGAGUAGGACCGAGAACUGAAGAAAUAGAUAUGUUUUUAUCCAAGACUACUCUAAAUAGACUUGGAUAUUGGGAUCCCAAAGGUUGGUCCCCCCACCACAAAUCUUCCCAGAAGCGAAUUCUUUCCCCAUUUCCUACCACAAAUCGAGUAAACGAGGAAAACUCUUGAAAGACUUGAGAAAUAGCCUUCCAAGGACAACGAUGUGACCAUCUGACUAUUGUGUUAGCAUCCCAACCAUUGGAGUGUGAACCAUAGAUGCUUAGUAUGACCUGAUGCCAAAGAGCUGAACCCUCUCUAGGGUACCUCCACAACCAUUUCCCUAAAAGAGCGAGAUUUCUCAGAGAAAUAUUCCCAAAACCCAAACCCCCUAUUUUCUUCGGUUUACACACGACAUCCCACCUGACUAAAUGAUCCUUUUUGCCUUCCCCAAUCCCUGACCAUAAAAAAUCCCUCUGCAACCUCUCGAUUUUUGCAGCAACUGAAGCGGGUAACUUAAAUAAAGAAAGAUAGUAACAGGGCAUAUGGGUAAGGCAAGAUUGGAUGAGAGUUAUCCUCCCUCCGAAGGAUAGGUAUGCCUUUUGCCAACCAUCUAAUCUUCUUGAAAUUCUCUCAAUCACAGGAUCCCAAAAACCACCUGCCCUGGGGUUCCCGCCCAAAGGAAGACCCAGAUAUAGUAUAGGCCAGCCAGAAGCCUUGCAUCCAAGUGUCUCAACCAAUCUUGAAAUAUGAGCAUGAUCCAAAUUGAUGCCAUAAAUAUUACUCUUGUCUAAAUUGACCUUAAGUCCAGAAAUAUGCCCAAAUGCUAACAAAAGACUCUUGAGAGUCUGCAAGUCUUCCUCCCUAGUGUUAGAAAAGAAGAUGGUGUCAUCGGCAAAUUGCAAAUGAGAUACCCUAGUUCUGUUUCUACCCACCCUGAAACCCUCCAACAUAUUUCUCUCCUCUGCUCUCACAAGCAUCCUACUCAAUACAUCUGCUACUAAAGUAAACAAAAAGGGAGAUAAAGGGUCUCCUUGUCUUAAUCCUCUCGAUGCCUUAACCCAACCUUUAGCGCUACCAUUCACCAAUACUGCAUAAGAUACCGAGGACAAGCAUCCAUUCAUCCAUUUCCUCCAUUUAGGACUAAACCCCUUCUUCUCCAACACUUGAUCUAAAAAAUCCCACCUUACGUGAUCGUAAGCUUUUUCAAAAUCAAUCUUAAAGACGACUCCUUCCUCCCCUGAUCGCCUUCUCUCAUCCACUAUCUCAUUUGCUAUGAGGACUGCAUCCAUUAUUUGUCUCCCUUGAACAAAAGCUCCUUGAGUAGAAUGGAUGGUUUCAUGUAAAACCCCUCUUAGACGCCCUGAGAGCACUUUGGCUAUUAUCUUAUAGAGACUAGUGAUCAAACUAAUGGGUCUAAAGUCUGAGAUUUUCUUUGUCGUACUCUUUUUGGGCAAAAGAACAAUGAAAGAGGCAUUAGUGCUUUGAUUGAUAACUCCGCUCCUAUGAAACUCUGCAAACACUCUCACUAAAUCCUCCUUAAUCACAUCCCAGCAGUCUUGGAAUACUGCAAUAGUAAAGCCAUCAGGCCCCGGAGCCUUGUCCCUAUCCAUCUGAAAUAUGGCCUUAGAAAUCUCUUCUUCUGUAAAAGGGGCAACCAACCUUAUUGCACUUUCUUCCGAAAUAGGGGACCAAUCUAAACCUUCAAUACUCCAAGACUCUCCUAUAGGAUUCGCGUAGAGUUUUUCAAAGUAGAGUAAGAUCUCCUCUGUGAUGCUCACGGCAUUAUUCAACACUAAGCCCGUUUCAUUUUCCAAUGACUUGAUAUACUUCCUAUUUCGCCUACCAUUAGCCACUUUAUGAAAAAACUUAGAGUUGCAAUCCCCUUCCUUAACCCAUUUCACCCUAGCUUUUUGUCUCCAAUGGAUUUCCUCCCUCAAAAUUAAUUCCUCUAGCUCCCCUUUUCUUAAGGCUCUUUGACCUAACAAUUCCGAGGUGAGACCCCCAUCCUGCUCGAUGGCGUCUAAGUUAGCUAAAUCCUUGAGGAUACUUUUUUUCUUUUCAUUAAGCACUCCAAAAGAAAGCUUAUUCCAUUCCUUCGCUUUGGCUUUAACAAAUUGUAAUCUCCUCAUGAACUUGUGGCCUUCCCAUCCGUUUCCUUGAAAACCCCUCCACCAAUUUCUAAAGUUCUCCUUGAAACUAGGAUGUUGCAGCCACAUGUUCUCAAAUCUAAAAAGAGUUGGGCCCCACUUGAACGGAUUGGUAUCCAAAGCAAUUGGCCAAUGAUCUGAGGUCCUUCUGAUAAGGGUUUCUUGAAUGCCUUGGGGAAAUAGCUGCCCCCACUCAUUUGAGUAAAGAAAACGGUCUAAUCUCUUGCACACGGGAGACUCUUGCAUAUUUGACCAAGUGAAUGAUGCGUUCCGAAGAGGUGGAUCAAGUAAUUCACUUUCACUAAUAAAACUAUCAAAGUCCCUCAUGCUUGAAGUUAGCCUAGAGCCCCCCAAUUUUUCUGAACUUCUCCUUAUGACAUUAAAAUCACCGCCCACACACCACAACGGAAAAGUUAGACCAUAAAUGUCAUAAAGUUCCACCCAAAAAUCCUUCCUAAGUGAGGGACUAUUUGGACCAUAAACUGCAGAAAUCCAAAGAGGUCCACUUCCCUCCAAGGCGAAUUUGACCGAUAUCGAGAAAGAGCCUAAUACCACCUCCUCCUUGCUCAACUUUUUUGAAUCCCAAAUGAACAAAAUCCCACCAGAAGCCCCACACGCCAGGAGAAUAACCCAAUCCUUAUUUCUGACCGUCCAUACACUGCCCACUAGCCUUCUGUCGCACUUCUCCUUUUUUGUUUCCUGAAUCAUCACAACAUCCGGCUUCUCUAACCUAAGGAAAUCUUUAAUCACUCUUCGCUUAUUACUUGAACCCAAACCCCUAACAUUCCAACUGAUGAUUUUCAUGGAAAAACACGCAGGCCCUAACCCUCCAAACCAAAACCACCUGGAUUCAAACGCCUAUGGACCUCUAUUCUUCCUCCUAGAGUACACCUUAAUGUCCAGAGAGCAUAGGACCUCACGUACUUUAGCCAUUUUCCUAGGGGACAGGCCAUCUAUAAGAAAGUCUUCCGGCGGGGAUGCCUCAUUAACCCCCGGACUGCCUGGCAUCAGGUUAGAAGACUUCCCAGGGGUAGAACUCUCGGACAUCUGGUUAAAAACAGCUCUCUGAUUCUCCUCCUCAACAUGGACAGGGAUGCCAACAAAAUUUAAUGGGCCAACAUCGCCUAUUUUGGGAAAAAUUUUAAAUUUACCUUGAUUUACCGAAGGAGACUGGGAAAGAAUUUCUGAAUUUGGGAGAUGAGGACCGAAGGGACACGGAAGAUUCAAUGCCAGAUUACAGGAAGGAGAGGGAUGAGGCUCGGGUGGCUGAGAAGAAAAAGGCUGACUUACCUCCAAGCUUUCCACUCCCGGAACUUCACAAUUUCCUCCCAAAAUGAUGUCUUUACCUCUGGUUCUUGGAAUAGAAGGUGACACCGUGACUGAAGAGCUACCAGGAUCGUACCCCGCUCGGCCCGUAAAUCCUCCUUUGUCUUCUUUGAGUUAGGAUUUUCGCGAUUCCAUCACUCCUCUUGACGUCGAGACUUCCUCCUUCGACCAUCUGUUGCAAUUCCUUGGCAGAAGACAACGGAAGAUGGGACUCCCUCUGAUGCCUCGAGUCUGAUGAGAUCCCUCUUGAUGCAUUGUUGCGGGGGGAGGAAAACUAGAGAAGCUAUUUUCUUGCUUUUUUCUUCCUCUGAAGGGAAGAAAAACAUGGAUAAGAAUGGAUCCCUUGGCAGUUAUAACUUGACAAUAGCAGGUUUUCCAGGUUGUUAGGAGAUCUUGAGGGGCAAGAUCUUUAAGGUUUUAACAUAAGUUUUCUUGAAUGGGAUAGCUGCAUCAGUGCUAUCUUUAUCACUUUGAUCCUUGAGAAAGAUAGGUCCAUUAAUAUCUGAAUUGUAGAUCAAUUAGUUUUGUGACUAGCUUUUGUAAGAUCAUCGCUAAGAACUUCACUAGAAGACCUAGGGAGGUGCUCCAAGAUAAGGUAUCCCAUCCCCAAGUAGUGUUUGUCAAAGGAGACAGAUUUUGAAUGUGGUCCUAAUUCCUGAUGACAUGAGUGAAAGUGAGAGAUAUCUUCCCAAGAAUGCAUGAUGACCAAACUAGAAUUUGAAGAGGCCAAUGAUUAUGGGAACAAGUAUGAUAAAAAAUAAUAAUAAUUAUGGGAACCGAGCUUUUUGGAUUAUGCUUUGGUGAAGAAGGGCUUUGCAAGGUCAUUGGAAAAAGGAGAUCAGAGAAUGUUAGAGAUCAAGAAAUUUUGUAAUCCUUGAUUUUAAGCCUAGAAAGCGGUUCCAAGCAGCCAAAUGGUUUAGUCAAGGGCACCAUCUCACCCCUAUGAUUACCCACAUUAAUGAUUAAUGUGCAUAGCAUAUUGAUCUUGAGGAAUUAGGUGGUAGAGAUUAUUAAGACUUUCAAGUGAGACAGAAAAGAAGUUUCCCAUCUUCAUUUGCCGAUGAUACAAUUCUUUCCUCAAUUUUACCUAUCAAAAAAAUAUAAAAAAAUAAAACAAUUCUUUCCUUCUUCAUGGAAGGAGAAUAAGGAACCACAUACUUGUUAGAGGUUAUUGAAUUUAUAACACACUUUAGAAUUAAUAUAGCCAAGAGUGCACUUCUUGGCAGCUUAGGUAUUAUAAUUGUGGUAGGACGUCACUUGAACUCUUUUUUUAAAAAAAAAGUGAGAAUGUAUUAAUUUAAAAAGAAAAAGAACAAAGGAUGAGAUGCCUAUCAAGAAAACAUAACACACACACAGUCACACACACACACACACAAAGAGAAAGAAAGAGUUGUGCCUCAAAAACAAUCAAUGAGGAUAGCUUUUCCACAAUAUAUCUCAGGGAUCUAGCAUCCCUGUUGGCCAAACAGUCAACAACCUGGAUAGUUAAAGUAGGUAUCUAAAUAAAAGAAGGGAAAAUAUCCCUAGCAAGAGCAGAAUCCUACUCAUCUGAUAAACAAGCCCCCAUGAACCCUCCUCCAAGGUCAAGAUGCUCAUAACCAAGGAAUCUCCUUCCUCGGAGAAGGCUCAACACACUCGCAAGCAACCUUGUUUAAAUCUUCUCAAAGAUAAAAGCUGAGCAUGAACAAUGGAAUAAUAAAUCAACAUACCAAUGCCUCACUCACGCUCUUGUGCCAAAAAAGAAUCAAACCAACAAAAUCUUAUAUUUUAGACGUAUUACCUUAGUUACAAGUUUGUAUAAGAUUAUAGCUAAGGUUUUACCAGGACACUUAGUACAGUUCUCCAUGAAAUCAUUUAUAUAUCCCAAGGAGCCUCUAUUAAGGGAAAACAAAUUUUGGAUGAUAUUAUGAUUGCCAAAGAUAUGGUGGAUGAGAAAAGGCGAUCAAGGUAGGAAGGGGUAGAUUUCAAAAUAGAUUUUGAAAAGGCCUAUGAUCAUGUGGCAUGGGGUUUUUUGGAUCAUGUAUUAGAGAGAAUGGUUUAGCUCAAAAAGGAGUCUUGGAUGAGGGCUUGUUUAUCUUCAACAUGUUCUGCAAUCCUAGUAAAUGGAAUUGUCAAAGUUUGGGUUAAGGCAAUCCGAGGGUUAAGACAAGGAAAUCCUCUUUCCCCAUUCCUUUACCAUUGCAGUUGAUGUUCUAAGUAAGAUAAUGAUCAGAGCAAAGGAAAGCGAUUUAUCAAAAGGCUUUGUAGUAGGCAGGAAUAAGACUAAAGUGUCUCUUUGACAAUUUGUAGAUAACACCAUAUUUUCUCUAGAGCCUCUAUGGAAAAUCCACAAAACCUCAAGCUAAUCAUUUUGGUUUUUGGACAAAUAUCAAGGCUUUAAGAUCAAUUUAGAGAAGAAAACUCUCUUUAGUAUCAAUAUAAGUCAAGAUCUAGUAUCUAGGUUAGCCUUGAUGCUUGAUUGUGAAGUCUCAUAAUGGCCUUUAUCUUAUCUAGGUCUUUCACUAGGAUGGAAUCUGAAGGCAAGUGGAUUUUGGGAUCUGGUGGUUGAUAGAAUCUCAAGGACACUAGAUGGGAGGAAAAAACCUUUUUGUCUUUUGGAGGGGAGAAUAACUCAAAUUCAGUCAUGCUUGUUUUACAUCCUUAGCUAUUUCUUAUCUCUUUUCAAGAUCCUAACAUCAAUAACUUUAGAGAUUGAGAAAUGACAAAGGAAUUUUCUUUUGUCAAGAAAUAGAAAGGGUAAUAAAAAUCAUCUUAUCAGUUGGGACAUAAUGUGCCAAAGGAGUUUGAAGGUUUGGGGAUUGGGAAGACUUCGAUGAGUAAGCCUCCUCCCUUAGGGAAGUGGCUUUGGAGGUUUCCUAAGGAAACUUUUGUCCUUUGGCAUCAGGUUUUUUCAAGCAUAUAUGGGACACUUUAUAAUGAAUAAAUCACCAAUAUUCUGGUUAAAUGGUCACAUAGAUGUCCUUGGAAAGCCAUGGCACAAAUAUUCCAAGACUUCUCUUCACUCACUUUGUGGUGGAUGACAGGGCAAGAAUUCAUUUUUGGGAAGUUUGUGCUGGGGAAAUAAACCUUUGUGUCCACAAUUUUCAGGUCUUUAUAAAGUUAUCACAGUUGAAAACCUCAUCAUAUGAUUUAUCCUUGGUAACUCCUCUUCACUUUCUGGGAACCUUAACUUUCAUUGUAACCCCACUAAUUUGGAAAUUGAGAACCUUGAGAUACUCAUAUCCUCACUCACUCUUGUGCAAUUGUCUCCAUCAACUACAAAUACAAGAACUUGAUCAUCAUCCUCUUUAGUUUUACUCUUAGUAAAAUCAAUUUUCUUAGCCUUAUCCAAUUUAUCAAAUUCAACCCAUUUGCUCCAUCUAAAAUUUUUUGUAACUCAAAGGCCCUACUAAGAUCAAGGGUUUUGCUUUGUUAGUGGGGCACAAGAAGGUAAACAUCAAUGACAUGCUACAGUUGAAAAGAUCUUACAAAUUCCUUAGUCCUCAUUGGUGCAUCUUAUGCAUGGAAAGUGGAGAAUCGAUUGACCAUCUGUCUCUAUAUUGUCUAUUAACAUCAGGGCUUUGACACAAGUUAUUUAGUCUAGCCAAGAUGGAUUGGAUUCUACCCUAGAGAAUGUGACAUGAUGACCAUCUCAUUUAGAGGUUUGGGAGCUCUAUCAGAGGCAAGACCAUUUGGCAAAUUUCUUGUCUCACUAUGCCUUGGAUUAUGUGGUGACAAAGAAAUGCUAGGAUCUUUGAGGAAAAGUGGAGAAUGGAAGAGAUGUUGAGGAAUUUACUUCACUUUUAUCCCUCCUUAUGGGCCUCUUAUACUGACACCUUUAGAGGCAUUCUACUCAAUGUUAUUCAACUUUGUUGGCAUCUAGUUUAUAAAUCAAAUGGAUUGUAUAACAAUGAAAGGAGUUGAGUUCGAUUUUGAGAUGUUACCUUUGUUUAUCCUCAAGUGGACUAAAGCUUUGUGUAGAGUUCUCCUUGCAUAGUGAAGACGUUUAGGCAUACUUUAUAAUUUUCUUGUAUUUUUGGGGGAGCAUCCAUCAUCCUUCUCAUGUACUUUUUUUUUUCACAAUUAAUACAUCUUUUGUUUCUAAUAAAAAAAAUAAAAAAUAAAAUCCAAGCAUCAAUAGUCAUCCUAGAACUUGCCAAUUAGGAAAAAGCCCACAACAUCGAUGUGUGUCUCUUAAUAAUCUUUGUCCAUCUUCUUCCCUAAGAUUCUGGUUAACAUAAUGAAUAGGAUUAAAAAUAAGAAACUAUAAAAAUAAAAAAUAAAAAACUUGUGGUUUUGCGCAAAGAAUAAAAAAGACCAUUUAGGGUUUUUUUAAAAUAAAAAAGAACAAUUUCAUUGCAUUGAAAUAGUAAGUAUAGAAAAGGAUGAAGAAUCCUUCUAGGAAGUACAAAAUCCUCUAUACAACUAAGAAAAUCGAAGAGACCAACAACUUUCGGGUCAUAACAACCCUUCCAAAAGGGUUAGAGUUUGUCUCAAUUGCUAAAGCUUGACUUGCAAGUCAGCCACACUCCAACCCUUAGCUACCCUAGGUUACCUAAAGAGCACCCAUCAAAAUGUAACUUAACAAACCCAUUGGAGGUGGUAGUUAUUCAAAAAGAGUAUCUUUAGUCAACCUCAUGGUUUUGUAAACUUGGUUCGAAUCUAGCAAAAUGAGGCUCAAAGGGACAUCUGCAAAAGCUUUACUUGUAGAAGUUGAAGAAGAGAAGUAAAAAAAGAUCAUUUAGUUAAUUGGAGGAUGGUUUGUCAAGCAAGCUAAAGUAUUUUGGUUUUGUAAAGUGGCCUAAGAAAGGUUUCCCUUGUAGGAAAUGGCCAUGGAGGUUCCUAGAGAUCAAGACUCGCUUUAGCACUUAUGAUCAAAAGUAGGUAUUGUGUUAAAGUCAUAUUAAGAUGCUAAAGUAGAAAUUUAUAUCUCAAGGUUUGAUUUCCAUUUUUUUAUCACAUUGAAUACAUCAUUAGGGAUGAUCUAGUAUUCCUUUCUCAGAGGAUUUCUAGCGAAAGGAAGAGAAUUUAUUGUCAUCGAAAAAAAAAAGGAAAUGAAGUUGAAAUUGGCAGAGAUGCUUGGGUGAUUAAUCCCUCCGAAGGAAUGUUGACAAGGUAGGAUUAGUUCAAUCCUAGGUUUAGAAGGUGCUUUUUUUGUUGAGAGCUAGAUAUAUUACUGUCUUCCUUUAAGGUUCUCAACUCAUUACUGGUAGGCUUAGCAAAUAAGCUUGUUUGAAAAAAUGGUGCUUAGGGGCUCAAAAACAAACAUUCUAUUGCUAUGAAAUAAGUAAAUGCAAACAAGGAUGAGAAAAUUUUCCCUUAAAAACAACCACUACAUAACUAUCUAAUAAAAGCCAAGAAAAAAUAUCUACUCUAAAGAUCAAUGGAAACAAGUUGUUACAACUAUGAACUCAAAACUUAGGGGUACAAAAUCCUCUAUAAAGUGAUUGAUUGAUUGGCUUCCUCUUUUAUUAACAUAUUCACCACACGAUUAGCUACUUGAGGUAUUUAGAAGAAUGGACAUUCCACUCUAAAGCAAUAUAAAAAAUUUGGCAUAACCAACUUUCACCCCUCUACAAGCCUCUCCCUUCUUAUUUAACCAAGACAAAACCAUUGCAAAAUCUCUCUACUAGAAGAUCAAAUAGGCCAUCGGUUUUAGCUAAGCUUUAGGCCUUCAAAUAAGAUUUAAUAUUUAUGUCUCAAUGGCAAGACCUGCUCCAACAUUUUCAGAGAAUGUUGUCACCAAUGUUCCAUGAUGAGCCAUGAACUUCCCUCCAAUUCCUAUCUAUCUCGGGAUACCUAAGGAGUACCCAUCAAAGUUCAACUUCAAGCAACUCACUAAAAGGGGUAUCCAUGUGAAAAAUAUAUCCUCAACCAGCUAAGUAGAUUUGCAAACUAGGUUUUAGUCGCAAUAUAUGCUAAAAGGGUUGCCCACAAAUAUUAGGCUAGCCGACACCCAAAGAGUAGAAAUAGAUUAAAUGCUCUUGGUGCAUAUGUAUGGGGUGUGGAGAGUCGAUUGAUCAUAUUUUCCUACAUUGUCUGAUAACUCAAGGAUAAUGGCACAAGUUAUUCAGUAUAGCCAAGAUGGAUUGGGUUCCACCCAGGAGCAUUUGUGAUAUGUUGUCCAUCUCUUUUAAAGGAUUGGGAAGUUCAGGUAGAGGCAAGACCCUUUGUCAAAUCAUUGGUCUCACUUCGCAUUGAAUUGUGUGGUGGAAUGAGAAAUGCUAGGAUUUUUUAAGAAAAGCUGAGGACGGCAGAGACUUUGUGGGAUCUACGUUACUUUUAUUCCUCAUGGGCUUCUUGUACUACUACAUUUAAAGGCAUUCUCUCAAUGUUUUUCUUUUUUUUUAUGGGUGCAUUCUCUCAAUGUUAUUCAACUUAAUCGAUGUUUGGUUUGUAAUUCAAAAGGGGUGGACAAUAAUGAGAGGAGCUUUGUUCGGUCUUGUUUUAUAGCCAUAAUUGGACUAAUUUUUGUGUAGGUUUCCAUGUAUAACGGAGGAGUUUGAGUCAUAUUUUGAUCAAAUCUUGUAUUUAGUGGGGAGGAUCUCUCAUCCUUAUCUUGAUCUAUUUAUCAAUAUACAAUCUAUCUUUGUUUCUGAUAAAAAAAUUAUACAUAUACAAAUAAAAAAUAAAAAAUCUUCCAAAGUACACCAUUUGUCCAAAAAAACUCUUGCAUUCUCUCAUGUCCUAUAGUCUAAAUUAAUGUGAGAUUAGCAAUAUGCCACAAUGACUCCCCUCUCAAAAGACCUCCAAAAAUCCAAUAAAAAAUAGUUAACAUCUCCACCACACUCUGAG